rnacentral:rRNA from 1 species
AUUGAACGCUGGCGGCAGGCCUAACACAUGCAAGUCGAACGGUAACAGGAAGAAGCUUACUUCUUUGCUGACGAGUGGCGGACGGGUGAGUAAUGUCUGGGAAACUGCCUGAUGGAGGGGGAUAACUACUGGAAACGGUAGCUAAUACCGCAUAACGUCGCAAGACCAAAGAGGGGGACCUUCGGGCCUCUUGCCAUCGGAUGUGCCCAGAUGGGAUUAGCUUGUUGGUGGGGUAACGGCUCACCAAGGCGACGAUCCCUAGCUGGUCUGAGAGGAUGACCAGCCACACUGGAACUGAGACACGGUCCAGACUCCUACGGGAGGCAGCAGUGGGGAAUAUUGCACAAUGGGCGCAAGCCUGAUGCAGCCAUGCCGCGUGUAUGAAGAAGGCCUUCGGGUUGUAAAGUACUUUCAGCGGGGAGGAAGGGAGUAAAGUUAAUACCUUUGCUCAUUGACGUUACCCGCAGAAGAAGCACCGGCUAACUCCGUG